rfam:Schistosoma mansoni, Puerto Rico, WGS project CABG01000000 data, contig: 0240
AUCCAGCCGAAGAGUACCAAACAGAACGAAAUGUGCGUCCUGGAU